rnacentral:rRNA from 1 species
GACGAACGCUGGCGGCGUGCUUAACACAUGCAAGUCGAACGGAAAGGCCCUGCUUUUGUGGGGUGCUCGAGUGGCGAACUGGUGAGUAACACGUGAGUAACCUGCCCUUGACUUUGGGAUAACUUCAGGAAACUGGGGCUAAUACCGGAUAGGAGCUCCUGCUGCAUGGUGGGGGUUGGAAAGUUUCGGCGGUUGGGGAUGGACUCGCGGCUUAUCAGCGUGUUGGUGGGGUAGUGGCUUACCAAGGCUUUGACGGGUAGCCGGCCUGAGAGGGUGACCGGCCACAUUGGGACUGAGAUACGGCCCAGACUCCUACGGGAGGCAGCAGUGGGGAAUAGUGCACAAUGGGGGGAAGGCUGAUGCAGAAACGCCGCGUGCGGGAUGACGGCCUUCGGGUUGUAAACCGCUUUCGCCUGUGACGAAGCGUGAGUGACGGUAAUGGGUAAAGAAGCAACGGCUAACUACGUG